AAUGGGAUAACUGGGUCAAAUGGUAGUUAUAUUUCUGGUUUUUUGAGGAAUCUCCAUACUGCUUUCCAUAGUGGUUGCACCAAUUUGCAGUCCCACUAGCAAU
rnacentral:pre_miRNA from 1 species